CUUGCUAUUGGUCGUUAGAUGUAGUUCAGCCACGGAGCAUGCGUACUGGGAGGGAUAGCCAGAAUGAAAUGGUUUUCCAUGAGAGCCACAAGCGGGCAUUCAACAACUUGAAAACUGGAUUGAAAAUGAGAGACAGAGCAGCCACUCCAGAAGCUUCCAAAAUCACACUGCACCUUCUUGAUCUGCUGCAAUCCACGUGGUGAAGUAGCUCCCAUGUUGCUGUUUGGUCAGGAGUUACAGGAUUUUCAUCCAGUGGUAAUAAGGAAAUUGGAAAGGGAGCAUUUACUGACAAGCUGCUCAACUCAAACAUUGGAUCAAAAACUGCCAGGAACACUUAAUGCUCAGGAGCUUUGAACAUGAAAGGAACAAGCAUCGUUUACAGUGAAGAGAAACCAUACACGUGGUCUGUGUGGACAAGCCUUUAUUCAAUUGUCUGGCCUGUCAGUACAGUCAAAACAGGGUGACAACCAUAACAUCAAACAGCUCUUGCUUUAUAAUAUCAUGGUCAUGGAUCUCAGUUUGAGUUAAGCAAGGGCCACUCAUCUCCUGUCCUCCCGACAUUCUUAGUGCAGACAUGGACCAAACAGCUGAAUUCCAAAUGUGAGAGUGACUAUCCACUAUCUUAAGGCUCCAUUUGACAGAGCAUUGUAUUAAGGAAUCAUGACAAAUCUAAAUUCAAUAGGAACCAGAGAAUAUUAUUCUUCCUUGGAUAGCUGGUUUUUGAAAAGAUUGCAUCUUCAGACCUCAGUAAAUCGAAACAAGGUGAAUUUAUUCCAACUUGUACCACAUACAUGUGGAAGAGGUCUGUCAGUUUAGCUCGGAGACACUACACCUUUUACAGCUCAAAACAGCAUAUGAAGGCAUUUUCAUGUAAAAAUGGUUGCAUGUGACAUUGAUAUAAAAUAAAUUAUUUUUCA